rnacentral:lncRNA from 1 species
GCAGAAACUGUUAAGCUCACUAUGCUGAUAUGUUGUUGUCGGCCACGUGUGUAGAUUGACACCGCGAUCGUGGAACACAUGGCUGAUCUGCCUCGAAUAACUGCAAGCCAGCGCAUGCGUAGUGCCGUGGAGAACGAUCAGAAGUCCUGGACGACAAAGAUAAAACUUCAAAGCUGCCUCUGUGAGCCCUGCUCCUGGACAACAGCUGGGAGGCUCUGUGUUUAAACGCGUGCACCUUGGACGUCAUGCUCCUGCCUCUGCAAGCCCUUUUGCUGGACGCCAUGGAAGGCCCUCCACUCGAAAGUGUGCACCUUAGACGACACACUCA